rnacentral:rRNA from 1 species
UAAGGAAUAUUGGUCAAUGGACGCAAGUCUGAACCAGCCAUGCCGCGUGGAGGAUGAAGGUCCUCUGGAUUGUAAACUUCUUUUAUCUGGGAAGAAACCCAUCUUUUCUUGGGUGGUUGACGGUACCAGAUGAAUAAGCACCGGCUAACUCCGUGCCAGCAGCCGCGGUAAUACGGAGGGUGCAAGCGUUAUCCGGAUUCACUGGGUUUAAAGGGUGCGUAGGUGGGCUAGUAAGUCCGUGGUGAAAUCUCUGAGCUUAACUCGGAAACUGCCGUGGAUACUAUUAGUCUUGAAUCUCGUGGAGGUAAGCGGAAUACGUCAUGUAGCGGUGAAAUGCUUAGAUAUGACGUAGAACACCGAUAGCGAAGGCAGCUUGCUACACGAGCAUUGACACUGAGGCACGAAAGCGUGGGGAUCAAACAG